CUCUCAAACCAGGCAGCUUGGGAGAUUUUGAGCAUUAACUGCUGCUCCCAAGCAAAAGGCUCUACUUUCAGUUUCUGGGAAACUGACUACAUUUUUAAAUUUCUUUGAUUGCAUGUUUUAAAUGACUCCAGUUGGGGGCACUGUUAUCUGGGGAAGGCUGGCUUGGGUGCCCUCUGGGGCUUCUUGGGCCCAGUUCCACUAGGGGACACGUCGCCCAGCCUACCUGUGGGGUAGGUGGCUCUACUUUCCGUUUCUUCUUCUGGUUCUGCUUGUUGGUUCGAGGAUACACCAUGAGCAUCUCUAACCACCUGGGAAGACAGGAUGAGAAAUAGUACCAGGAAGCCUGGAUCUUAGAACUGUUCCAUGUCAGCUGAUAUUUCGGUCAGAUACUUGAGGCUGUGUGUGUGAAGGGAGUGAUUCCUACAACUUCACUAGAAUCCUAAAUCAAGAUUAUCUUCCCACAAGGACCUCAGAAACAAGUGUUCUUCAUUCACCCAUGGACAAGACACAUCGUAUUUCUGAGACAGAAAACUAUCGCUAUGAGGAUUGUGAGAACUGAGUGACAGAAGCUGUGCCGACAGCCAGUAGUGACCAGAUGAAAGGAACUGCAAAGGAUGCCUCUUCUUCUCUACUGCUGGAACUCUUUCCCAGUCCUUGGGAUUAAAACACUGACAAUGGC
rnacentral:lncRNA from 1 species